GACCCCAUGUCAGGUGGGACUACACGCUGAGUUUACGCAUAUCAAUAAGCGAAAGAAAAGAAACUUACAAGGAUUCCCCUAGUAACGGCGA
rnacentral:rRNA from 1 species